rnacentral:tRNA from 1 species
AGGUAUUAGAAAAGCCAUUUCAUAACUUUGUCAAAGUUAAAUCACAGGUUAAAGCCCCGUAUACCUUA